GGGGGUAUAGUUCAGUGGUAGAACAUAUGCUUAGCAUGCACAAGGUCAUGGGUUCAAUCUCCAGUAAUUCCA
rnacentral:tRNA from 1 species